UACGUAGGGUGCGAGCGUUGUCCGGAAUUAUUGGGCGUAAAGAGCUUGUAGGCGGUCUGUCGCGUCUGCUGUGAAAACCCAGGGCUCAACCCUGGGCCUGCAUUCGAUACGGGCAGACUAGAGUUCGGUAGGGGAGACUGGAAUUCCUGGUGUAGCGGUGAAAUGCGCAGAUAUCAGGAGGAACACCGGUGGCGAAGGCGGGUCUCUGGGCCGAAACUGACGCUGAGGAGCGAAAGCGUGGGGAGCAAACAGG
rnacentral:rRNA from 1 species